GAUGAACGCUGGUGGCGUGCCUAAUACAUGCAAGUCGAGCGAACAGAUAAGGAGCUUGCUCCUUUGACGUUAGCGGCGGACGGGUGAGUAACACGUGGGUAACCUACCUAUAAGACUGGGAUAACUUCGGGAAACCGGAGCUAAUACCGGAUAAUAUUUCGAACCGCAUGGUUCGAUAGUGAAAGAUGGUUUUGCUAUCACUUAUAGAUGGACCCGCGCCGUAUUAGCUAGUUGGUAAGGUAACGGCUUACCAAGGCGACGAUACGUAGCCGACCUGAGAGGGUGAUCGGCCACACUGGAACUGAGACACGGUCCAGACUCCUACGGGAGGCAGCAGUAGGGAAUCUUCCGCAAUGGGCGAAAGCCUGACGGAGCAACGCCGCGUGAGUGAUGAAGGUCUUCGGAUCGUAAAACUCUGUUAUUAGGGAAGAACAGACGUGUAAGUAACUGUGCACGUCUUGACGGUACCUAAUCAGAAAGCCACGGCUAACUACGUG
rnacentral:rRNA from 1 species